GAUGAAGAACGAAGCGAAAUGCGAUAAGUAAUGUGAAUUGCAGAAUUCAGUGAAUCAUCGAAUCUUUGAACGCACAUUGCGCCCCUUGGUAUUCCGAGGGGCAUGCCUGUUCGAGCGUCAUUAUAACCCCUCAAGCUCAGCUUGGUGUUGGGGCCUGCUGCACUGGCAGCCCUUAAAAUCAGUGGCGGCGCCAUCUGGCUCUAAGCGUAGUAAUUCCUCUCGCUAUGGAGUCCUGGUGGAUGCUUGCCAUCAACCCCCAAUUUUUCUAUGGUUGACCUCGGAUCAGGAAGGGAUACCCGCUGAACUUAAGCAUAUCAAUAAGCGGAGGA
rnacentral:misc_RNA from 1 species